UACAGAGGGGGCAAGCGUUAUUCGGAAUUAUUGGGCGUAAAGGGCGCGUAGGCGGCCUGGCAAGUGGAUGGUGAAAUCCCUCGGCUUAACCGAGGAACUGCCAUCCAGACUGCUUGGCUUGAGACCGGGAGAGGUGAGUGGAAUUCCCAGUGUAGCGGUGAAAUGCGUAGAUAUCGGGAGGAACACCGGUGGCGAAGGCGGUUCUCUGGGCCUUACCUGACGCUGAGGAGCGAAAGCGUGGGGAGCGAACAGG
rnacentral:rRNA from 1 species